rnacentral:lncRNA from 1 species
GUUCUCAGAGUCUAGAGGAGAAGAAAGAACCUUGGUGAGAGCGGGCGAAACUACAGGCAAGCCGAUGAUUGAGAGUGGAAGCAGCCCUCCAGGUUUGCAGGGGACUUUGACCAAUGCAGCCUGUUCUUCCUCAGGUGUCCUUGGUGAAGAAAGAAAGAAUUUUACGGAUAUCGUAGGCUGACUGCUGCCCUUUCUUCGCUCUACUUGUGAUUUUUUGCAGACAACAUCACGUUUUUCUGUUGAAGAGAGUUGGAUUUCUCCUUGUCCAACCUACAGUGCUUUUCACUAUUUUUCUGACUUUAUUCAACUGGCAAGAAUCUGCAGCACAAUGUUAAAGAGAAGUUAUGAAAAAGGAUAUUUUCCAGUUUUUCUUGAUCUUAGAGAGACUAUAUUAAAUUAUUUAGUGUUUUUCCAUUAAUUUUAAUGUGAGUUUUAUCAGAUUGUUUUAUAUCAG